rnacentral:lncRNA from 1 species
AUUAUCUCAGCUGACUGCCAGGUGCUUGUUUGCUAAAAUUUAUAAAAGGAUGUGGGGGUAGAAAGAUAUGGGUGGUGUUGUGGGCUUUCCUUUCUGAUUUUUGGGUUGGUGUUGGUUUGGUGAUUCAAAGGCCCUAGAUAUGGUGCUGCGCCAUGUUACUCUCCUGGCACCAGUUCUCUUGGCAGCAUUGUAAAAAUACCCAUGAGAUUCCUGAAUGUUUUUGAAGCUACAAUGGAUCUGAAUCGUGAAAUGGAACUCAAAGUUUUGUUCUCUUGACCCUCAUUGUUUCACAUGCUUAUCAUAAUAAAAUAAUUCC